UGUAUUCACUACUGUAAGUUGCUCUGGAUAAGAGCGUCUGCUAAAUGACAAAAA
rfam:Salmo salar isolate Sally breed double haploid chromosome ssa14, whole genome shotgun sequence.